UACAGAGGUCUCAAGCGUUGUUCGGAUUCAUUGGGCGUAAAGGGUGCGUAGGUGGCGUCGUAAGUCAGGUGUGAAAUCUCGGGGCUCAACCCCGAAACUGCACUUGAUACUGCGAUGCUCGAGUACUGGAGAGGAGAUUGGAAUUUACGGUGUAGCAGUGAAAUGCGUAGAUAUCGUAAGGAAGACCAGUGGCGAAGGCGGGUCUCUGGACAGUUCCUGACGCUGAGGCACGAAGGUCAGGGGAGCAAACGGG
rnacentral:rRNA from 1 species